rnacentral:lncRNA from 1 species
UCUGCAAUUCUGAAGACCGAAUUACCCUUUGCUUAGUUGAGUGAUUCGUGUUGGAUUUGGAUUAGAGUAGUAUGUACUUGUCGUUAAUAUGUGAUUGGAAGCAUAGUAAUUGAGUAAAUGACCAACCGUUUUUAUCCUGUAUUUGAUUCUGUCUUUGCAUUCCUGUUUACAUUUUGAUUCGCAUUUUUGUUUUCACAUUUCUACUUGCAUCCGUGUUUUAAUUUAAUUCAUCAGCAUUCACAAACUUUUCACAACCCCCCCCCACUUCGUGUUUGACCUGAUUCUCGAACCACAUUUGGUCAUUGAGAGACGACCUAGGAGUCACUUCCUAGUUUAUACUGCAUUCUUUUAUGCAAUCAAAUUUGUAUGGGCCGCGACACCCAUCAAACACCCUGUGUCCAAGUACCAAGAUGACUUAUCUUCGGCAUGGCUCAUCUCACUGGGAAGCAACACGUGGUCUGCUAAUUCUUCACAUUUGUCCACACAUGAUUCCCUCUUUCGCCUGACAAUAGUGCCCG